AAAGCGUUUCGCUUUGUGUGGUGCACAAAGAAGCGUAACGACAGCACUGACUGACGGUUAACGGAGCGUAAGCGACGUUCAACCCAAAAAUCAGGCAGUGGAGCGCUUUGGGGUGGGGUGACUGCGUACCUUUUGUAUAAUGGGUCAGCGACUUAUAUUCUGUAGCAAGGUUAACCGAAUAGGGGAGCCGAAGGGAAACCGAGUCUUAAU
rnacentral:rRNA from 1 species